UGUAGUUUGCACUCCGGACGCACUCAGGCUUGAGGACAGUGCUGGAAAGCCUGACCGCGACUCGGUGUUUAGAAAGCUCAAUUUAGGGCUGGGCUUGGCACGUUUCACAUCUGUCUGACGGAGGGUUCUUCGUGUACUGGGCAGUCCUAACUCGCAGCCGCGCGUCAUCACCCGCAUUUCAUAGAUGAAAAAACUGAGUCUCGGGAAACUCACUCAAGGUCAAAAACUUUGUGAGGAGCAGAGCUCAUAAGAGCCCGCGGUCUCCAGAACCCCACAACAACAUCUGAAAAUAUGAGAGCAGCCGCCUCACCCGCAACAGGGGGAGCCCCUCCUGCCACCAGGGGACCGUCGCCGCCCCUCGCGAGAAG
rnacentral:lncRNA from 1 species